rfam:Gossypium hirsutum cultivar TM-1 chromosome 12, whole genome shotgun sequence
AUUCCAUGUUAUGGGAACUUUUUUAGCAUCGUCAUGAAAUGCUUCCACGCCUCAUAAAAGAACUCACCUUCGUAUUGUUUGAAAUUGGCGAUUUCUUGCCUAUGUU